rnacentral:rRNA from 1 species
CUUGGUCAUUUAGAGGAAGUAAAAGUCGUAACAAGGUUUCCGUAGGUGAACCUGCGGAAGGAUCAUUAACGAAUUUAUGGAGAGUUGAUGCUGGUCGCAAGACAUGUGCUCGCUUUCUUAAAAUCCAUAUACACCUGUGCACCUUUUCUUUCGCUUGGGUCUCUUCUGGGGACUCGAGUGGAGAAAAAACUACAAACUCUUAACUUAAUCAUGAAUGUUAUAGCCGCAAGGCAAAACUUAAUACAACUUUUAACAACGGAUCUCUUGGCUCUCGCAUCGAUGAAGAACGCAGCGAAAUGCGAUACGUAAUGUGAAUUGCAGAAUUCAGUGAAUCAUCGAAUCUUUGAACGCACCUUGCGCUCCCUGGUAUUCCGGGGAGCACGCCUGUUCGAGUGUCAUGAAACUCUCAAAUCAGAUUGACUUUAUUGUUUGAUCUUGAUUUGGAUUUGGACUCUGCUGUAGCCUGCUAAAGGCAUAGCUGGUCUUAAAAGUAUUAGCUGGCCCUCUUGAGGGAUUGGUUCUACUCGGCGUGAUAAUUAUCUAUCGUUGAGGACAUCUUGCUUGCAAGGUGGCCAAGCUUUCUUAGGACCGCUUCUAAUCGUCCCUUGGGGACNAUACAAACUUCAAAUCUGACCUCGAAUCAGGUGGGACUACCCGCUGAACUUAGCAUAUCAUAAGCGGAGGAAAGAACUNACAAGGAUUCCCCUAGUAACGGCGAGUGAAGCGGGAUGAGCUCAAAUUAAAAUCUGGUAGUCUUGGCUGCCCGAGUUGUAAUCUAGAGAAGCGUUUUCCGCGUUGGACUGUGUACAAGUUUCCUGGAUACGGAACAUCAUAGAGGGUGAGAAUCCCGUCCUUGACACAGACUCCCAAUGCUUUGUGAUGCGCUCUCGACGAGUCGAGUUGUUUGGGAUUGCAGCUCAAAAUGGGAGGUAAAUUCCUUCUAAAGCUAAAUAUUGGCGAGAGACCGAUAGCGAACAAGUACCGUGAGGGAAAGAUGAAAAGCACUUUGGAAAGAGAGUUAAACAGUACGUGAAAUUGUUAAAAGGGAAACGAUUGAAGUCAGUCGCGUCUGCUUGGACUCAGCCUUACCUCGGUUUGGUGCAUUUCCUUGUAGACGGGCCAGCGUCCAUGUUGAUCACUGGAAAAGGUGUGGGGGAAUGUGGCUCUUUCGGGAGUGUUAUAGCCCUUGCUCGUAUACGGUGAACGAUAUGGAGUGGUACAGCACGCUUCGGUGGUGCUUGUGCUGGCAUAAUGGCUUUAAACGACCCGUCUUGAAACACGGACC